rnacentral:rRNA from 1 species
GACAGAGGCCUCGAGCGUUAGGCGGAAUCACUGGGCUUAAAGCGUGUGUAGGCGGAUGCCUAAGUACCUUGUGAAAUCCCACGGCUCACCCGUGGAACCGCUGGGUAUACUGGGCAUCUUGGGCCAUUCAGGGGCAACUGGAACAAGCGGUGGAGCGGUGAAAUGCGUAGAUAUCGCGUGGAACGCCGACGGUGAAAGCAGGUUGCUGGGAAUGUGCCGACGCUGAGACACGAAAGCCAGGGGAGCAAACGGG